GCCAGGCCCACUUCAGACAAGCUGGCAUCGGGCUGGAGUCCCACUGAGUUCUGGAAGCAGGGAGUUUGCCUAGGUCUCUUUGUUAACCUCCUAACAUCGCGCCCCCUCGUGGGAACUUUCUCUCACUCAGUUCAACUUGACUCAGUUACUAAAAAGUAACUGGGAAGUAGUUCCUACAGGGUCCUCUUCACCUCAGCUACAAGGUGGACUUCCAAAAGGAGGUAAAAGAAGUUUUAGCAUGAACAAUGUUCAUAUAUCUAAAAUGUCAAUUUUUCAGCCUACCAGUUUCGUUACAAAAGAAACCAGAAUGCUUAGAAAUAGAAUAUUUUUAACCUAAACUUUGGGAAAAACCUUUCAGGAAAUUUAAGUGUGCCUGAAGAAAGAGUUGUGAAGCAAUUUCAGGAAGGAGGCUGUUUCUGCAAAGACUGAUUAGCGCUGCAGUAAUGUGGAGAUUGGAAUGUUACAUACAGGUCCAGAGGCUGGCUAAUUACCUGUUCUGGGCCUAGCCCAGUGAAUAGCCCCUGCUUUCCAAUGUUUUCGUUGGAUCUAACAUUCUGUGACUAAUAGAUAAAAAUCUAUUGGAACCUUUCAACUGAGCUGACUCCUAGUCAACUAACUCAAGAACCAAAUCAAGAACCCAAAUCUCUAUUCCCUGGGUCAUGGGCAUUCAAAUAUGGCUCCACAAUAAGCUCUUAUUCCCUUUAAGUCAGAGCUGUUAGCACUGGGACAGCCUUCUUUGCUAGAGGUUAUUCCCUACAGCUGGGCUGCCCAAAUGAAGUUCAGCAAUCGCUUCAGUCAUUUCCUCGUCAACACUGUGAGUCUCCGUGGUGUGUGGCAAUUCACUUGCCAAUGA